CCGCACCUGUGAAAAUUGACAUAAAUACAUAUAUAUCACACACGCAAUUCAAGAACAAUAUAAAAAUGUAAUUUUUAUUGUACUGAACAAAUUAAAAUAUGAAAAUACAAAAGAAAAACUAAAAAGGUCCAAAAUCAAAUCUAUGCUGCUGCUCAUCUGCAGGAUCCGAUGUCGGAUCUCCCGAUGUCGGAUCGCCGGGAGNNN
rnacentral:lncRNA from 1 species